rnacentral:rRNA from 1 species
UGCAAGUCGAACGGUGACACUAGAGCUUGCUCUGGUUGAUCAGUGGCGAACGGGUGAGUAACACGUGAGUAACCUGCCCUUGACUCUGGGAUAACUCCGGGAAACCGGGGCUAAUACCGGAUACGAGACGCGACCGCAUGGUCGGCGUCUGGAAAGUUUUUCGGUCAAGGAUGGACUCGCGGCCUAUCAGCUUGUUGGUGAGGUAAUGGCUCACCAAGGCGUCCACGGGUAGCCGGCCUGAGAGGGCGACCGGCCACACUGGGACUGAGACACGGCCCACACUCCUACGGGAGGCAGCAGUGGGGAAUAUUGCACAAUGGGCGAAAGCCUGAUGCACCGACGCCGCGUGAGGGAUGAAGGCCUUCGGGUUGUAAACCUCUUUCAGUAGGGAAGAAGCGAAAGUGACGGUACCUGCAGAAGAAGCGCCGGCUAACUACGUGCCAGCAGCCGCGGUAAUACGUAGGGCGCAAGCGUUGUCCGGAAUUAUUGGGCGUAAAGAGCUCGUAGGCGGUUUGUCGCGUCUGGUGUGAAAACUCAAGGCUCAACCUUGAGCUUGCAUCGGGUACGGGCAGACUAGAGUGUGGUAGGGGUGACUGGAAUUCCUGGUGUAGCGGUGGAAUGCGCAGAUAUCAAGAGGAACACCGAUGGCGAAGGCAGGUCACUGGGCCACUACUGACGCUGAGGAGCGAAAGCAUGGGGAGCGAACAGGAUUAGAUACCCUGGUAGUCCAUGCCGUAAACGUUGGGCACUAGGUGUGGGGCUCAUUCCACGAGUUCCGCGCCGCAGCUAACGCAUUAAGUGCCCCGCCUGGGGAGUACGGCCGCAAGGCUAAAACUCAAAGGAAUUGACGGGGGCCCGCACAAGCGGCGGAGCAUGCGGAUUAAUUCGAUGCAACGCGAAGAACCUUACCAAGGCUUGACAUACACCGGAAUCAUGCAGAGAUGUGUGCGUCUUCGGACUGGUGUACAGUUGGUGCAUCGUUGUCGUCAGCUCGUGUCGUG